GACGAACGCUGGCGGCGUGCCUAAUACAUGCAAGUUGAGCGAUCAAGAUUGGUGCUUGCUCCUAUUUGAAUAGCAGCGAACGGGUGAGUAACGCGUGGGUAAUCUGCCUUUGAGCGGGGGACAACAUUUGGAAACGAAUGCUAAUACCGCAUAACAACUUUAAACAUAAGGUUUAAUUGUGAAAGAUGCAAUUGCUUCACCCAAAGAUUAUCCCCCGUUGUCUUAGCUAGUUUGUGAGGUAAAGGGUCAACAAGGCGAAGAUACAUAGCCGGACUGAGAGGGGGGACCGCCCACUCGGGACUGGGAACAGGCCCCAAAUCCUAACGGAGGGCGCAGUAGGGGAACCUUGCGAAUGGAGGAAAGUCUGAACGAGGCAAGGCGCGUGGGUGAAGGAGGUUUUCGGAUUGUAAAAACCUGUUGGUAGGGAAGAAAGUAGGUGGGAGUGGACAAUGCACGACGUGACGGUACCUAAUCAGAAAGCGACGGCUAACUACGUG
rnacentral:rRNA from 1 species